rnacentral:tRNA from 1 species
ACCUGGGUGGCUCAGUUGGUUGGGCAACCGACUUCAGCUCGGGUCAUGGUCAUGAUCUUGCAGUUUGUGAGUUCGAGCCCCACCUUGGGCU